UUCGAAUGUGGAGAACAGUCGAAUGCUGC
rnacentral:sRNA from 1 species